UGGGCUUAAAGCUGUCCUGUCAGAUUCUCC
rnacentral:piRNA from 2 species